UCUUGUUCCGCCUUGUGUUGUUUAUGAAACAAAGACAUGUUUUUGCUUUCCGAAUCACAAAGACAAACGUCCGGAUGUCCGGUAGUUGUUUCUACACCUACCUUUUACAUCGUUGUUCCUCAUGGGUGGACUUAACGAGAAACAAAUGGCAAUCUACUUGCAUGUGAGAUACUGAUGUAAAUAUCUAAUAUUGCAUAUUUUUGGACACGGGGUCAAGGGUCGGCCAUUCCCGUUGGCAUUCGUGGGAUUGCAAUGGUCUGUCAUACCACCAACGCUUCAGUGACUGACCGGAACCGAGUGAUUGCCGUCUCCAGGCUUCCCUUCAACAUCCUUCUGGUCUGUCUCUCCUCGUCGGAAUCGUCGGGAAUUCGAUCGCUAUUCACGUAUGUCACCGGAAACAGAAGAGAGGGAAUCGUUUCUACAUCCUCCUCCUGGCCGUGUACGAUAUAAUUGCUAGUGUGGAUACCACCAUCAGCGUUCUGAUCCUCAACUCUUACAGCGUCAGCUUCCCUUCUGAUGUGUUGUGUAAAGUAAUGACAUAUUUUAUGUGGACGACCCCUUCGUCCUCAGCCCUGAUGGUUCUUAUCAUUGCUUUACAGCGUUUCCUGCUCGUCUUUAAACCUACUAAACGCUACUUCGAUCCUCGACAUCAUCGAAUCAUCGGCGUACUUGUUGUUACUUUCGUUCCUAUGGUGAUUGCUGUUCCAAUGUGUGUCUUCUCUGGAACAGCUGCUAUAAAUGUUUCUUUGUCGGACGGGUCACAUUUAACAACGUGCUCUUGUGAGGCAAAGACAGGUACUUUUAAAGAGUCUGAGGAAAGUUAUAUUAUGUUUUUGUUCGUUCUUACUUUGCUUUUGAUUUUGACAACAACUCUUUUGUACGCUCCUGUUGGAUUUGUCAUUUUGAAAAAGUAUAAAAAUUCAGGGUCUUCCAGAAUCCCCCGGAAUUCCAAUCAAAUUCCAUUGACGCCGUUGAAACAUUGACUUCCGAUAUCACGGACGUUAGAACAGCAAUGCGAGAAGAAAGGCGGGGAAACCGCGGGCGACCAAAUGUUACUCUAAAUUUCCACAUGAUGUUCGGAGUGAUUGUAAUGACUUACUUGCUGACCUAUAUACCUACCUUUACGAUGAUAUUGGUCCAGAGACAAAAAGCCGGCUACUGGUUGGACUGAGUGGCGGGAAACUGACCAUUUUCCUGCUUCUCCGGCGCUUCCACAUGGUCUCCAACGUAGUGAAUCCGUUCGUGUACGGAUAUUUCGACAUCACCUUCCGGUCUUACUACGCCGCCGUGUUUAGGUCGUUGUUUUGUUGUAGAAGUUCAAAUAAAACUAAUUGUCUUCGAGACAGGAGAUCAGAGGAGACAGAUACAGAUAACACGUACUACUAGAUUAAUACUCAAUGCAUGUAUUUACACAACAGAAAAAUCUCGACUUUGUAAAGAAUUAGGUAUACAAUGUAUAGUUUGCUUAUAUCAAACGAUAUAUUAUUAAAGUUAGCAUUAAACAAAUUCAUACCG
rnacentral:misc_RNA from 1 species